GAUGAACGCUGGCGGCGUGCCUAAUACAUGCAAGUCGAGCGAACAGAUGAGGAGCUUGCUCCUCUGACGUUAGCGGCGGACGGGUGAGUAACACGUGGAUAACCUACCUAUAAGACUGGGAUAACUUCGGGAAACCGGAGCUAAUACCGGAUAAUAUAUUGAACCGCAUGGUUCAAUAGUGAAAGACGGUUUUGCUGUCACUUAUAGAUGGUUCCGCGCCGCAUUAGCUAGUUGGUAAGGUAACGGCUUACCAAGGCAACGAUGCGUAGCCGACCUGAGAGGGUGAUCGGCAACACUGGAACUGAGACAAGGUCCAGACUCCUACGGGAGGCAGCAGUAGGGAAGCUUCCGCAAUGGGCGAAAGCCUGACGGAGCAACGCCGAGUGAGUGAUGAAGGUCUUCGGAUCGUAAAACUCUGUUAUUAGGGAAGAACAAAUGUGUAAGUAAAUAUGCACGUCUUGACGGUACCUAAGCAGAAAGCCACGGCUAACUACGUG
rnacentral:rRNA from 1 species